rnacentral:rRNA from 1 species
AUUGAACGCUGGCGGCAUGCCUUACACAUGCAAGUCGAACGGUAACAGGUCUUCGGAUGCUGACGAGUGGCGCACGGGUGAGUAAUACAUCGGAACGUGCCCGAUCGUGGGGGAUAACGAGGCGAAAGCUUUGCUAAUACCGCAUACGAUCUACGGAUGAAAGCGGUGGAUCUUCGGACCUCGCGCGGACGGAGCGGCCGAUGGCAGAUUAGGUAGUUGGUGGGAUAAAAGCUUACCAAGCCGACGAUCUGUAGCUGGUCUGAGAGGAUGAUCAGCCACACUGGGACUGAGACACGGCCCAGACUCCUACGGGAGGCAGCAGUGGGGAAUUUUGGACAAUGGGCGAAAGCCUGAUCCAGCCAUGCCGCGUGCAGGAUGAAGGCCUUCGGGUUGUAAACUGCUUUUGUACGGAACGAAAAGCCUCUUUCUAAUAAAGAGGGGUCAUGACGGUACCGUAAGAAUAAGCACCGGCUAACUACGUG